rnacentral:rRNA from 1 species
CUGACAUCUUUGGAAGCAAUGUUUGAUGCAUACUCUCUCUAUGUAGGAAGCAAUAUUUGUUGCACAAUGUCAUGAGCAACAGUGCAGUGGUGACCUUCGCUUCACCAAGGGCUUCUCUGCAGCUAUCGAGGGUUAGUGUGUAGACGGAGACGCCGACAACGAGAUGGCUGAUAGGGGUGGCGCCGGCAAUGGCGAGGACGUCGACCGACAACAACAGCAUCCCCCUCUCCCAUCAGCAGCUAUGCCACAAUGCUACUCGAGUACUAAAACAAUAUUGGACAAUAUUGAUACAAUCAGGAAUCAGCUAACAUGAAUA